rnacentral:rRNA from 1 species
GAUGAACGCUGGCGGCGUGCCUAAUACAUGCAAGUCGAGCGAACAGAUAAGGAGCUUGCUCCUUUGACGUUAGCGGCGGACGGGUGAGUAACACGUGGAUAACCUACCUAUAAGACUGGGAUAACUUCGGGAAACCGGAGCUAAUACCGGAUAACAUAUUGAACCGCAUGGUUCAAUAGUGAAAGGCGGCUUUGCUGUCACUUAUAGAUGGAUCCGCGCCGUAUUAGCUAGUUGGUAAGGUAACGGCUUACCAAGGCAACGAUACGUAGCCGACCUGAGAGGGUGAUCGGCCACACUGGAACUGAGACCCGGUCCAGACUCCUACGGGAGGCAGCAGUAGGGAAUCUUCCGCAAUGGGCGAAAGCCUGACGGAGCAACGCCGCGUGAGUGAUGAAGGUCUUCGGAUCGUAAAACUCUGUUAUCAGGGAAGAACAAAUGUGUAAGUAACUGUGCACAUCUUGACGGUACCUGAUCAGAAAGCCACGGCUAACUACGUG